AACCCAUAAGGUGGGCCAUUGUGACUGUUACUCUUUACAGGAGACACAGAGGGGCUAACUCCCCCAGGUCACCCAACUAAGAUGAGACAGAGCCAGGAGCCAUGUGCUGACAUCUUGCCUGCUGGGUCUGGGCCCUGCACCCCAGCAGCAUUCUGCCACCGGAACCAGCAGGUGUUGGCACCUGACCUGAUGCAGGAACGACCUCCUCUAGGAGUCUGUGCUCUCUCUACACCACGUCCCUCAAACUGCAGGGAACUGGCGGACCAGUUUGUGAGAUUCUGUGUCUUCAAGGUUUCUUCCAUCCAGAGAGAUGAUCCCAAAGAAAUGUCACACAGAAAUAGUGACUUGAAGUCCAAAGAGGAGGAAAAAGGAGCCGGCAGGCGGAUGAUGAAUCUGUGAAAUAGUCAUACCUACGCCGCUCACGAUGUCCACGCCACGAGACCCCAUCUGCUAUGCAUCACCCGUAACACGGCAGCCGCACCCCCGGGCUGCCCUGAUAAGAGGUGGAAACUAGUAAAUCAUCCCACACUUCUGGACUCAGUUUCUCCAUCUCUGAAAGGGAAAAUUCUGUCCACUGCCAGGUAUUCAUCAUGAGAUAAAUGAACUGCACUGCGCCAAGUCAUCUUGAAACAGGAAAGCUGGUGGAUUAAAUAAAG
rnacentral:lncRNA from 13 species